rnacentral:rRNA from 1 species
AUGGCCGACUGCAUCAGCACCCUCCCCGACGACCUUCUCCACCACGUGCUUUCCUUCCUCCCCGCGCACGAUGCGGUGCGGACCUGCAGGCUCGCGCGGCGCUGGCGCCACCUCUGGAAAUCCGCCCGGGCCCUGCGCGUCACCGGCAAGGGAUGCACCAACGAGUGGUUCGUCAACUUCGUGGAUAGCCUGCUCCUCCUCCGCGACCCCAGCGAGCGACUGGACUCGUUCGAGCUCGACCUCAACUACGGCGACGACUUCGAUUCCAAGGACUUCGACUUCGAUUCGAAGGUGUUCCUGCCCGUGCCCGCUAACGAGGAGGACGUGAACAGGUGGUUCCGGCUCGUCCUGCUGUGCAGACCCCGGGUGCUGCUGGCGUUGCGUACCGACUAUCGUCUAAGCCUUGCCAAUGUCCCUCUCAUAUCCCAGCACCUCACAAGACUGGAACUUCGGAGGUUGUACGUGCACAGCAGCACGCUCGAUUUCUCGGGCUGUCCUGCGCUGCUUCGUCUCAGGAUGGAGGAUUGCACCAUUUGCGGGAAUAUCUCUUCUCCAUUCCUGAAGCAUCUCAGCACUAUCUACUCUUCUUUCCGGGCAGGCGCCUUCCGCGCCCGGGUCUAUUUGCCCAACCUUGUUUCCCUCGAGCUAGACGGUUUUUACGGUAGGACGCCGGUACCGAUUGAAAGCAUGUCACUGUUAACUUCGGCAAUUGUUAGAAUCAAUACAUGUCUUGAUUGUUGUCGUAAGAAUGACUAUGGAGGUUGCGAUGAUCGUCAAUGUCAUGGAUGUUAUGAAUCUGAAAGUGGUGCUCACGAUAGGCGUGGCGAGUCUGUGCUUUUGAAAGGAUUAUCACAAGUUGCCUCGUUGGAGUUGUGGGUUCAUCCUCAAGUGGUAUGCAUGCUUGCUUGCACUUGCUUCUUCGGUUUGUGGGACUUGAAAUUGUGCCCAACAUUCAGCAAGUUAAAGACUUUGUUGCUCAGCAAUUGGUGCCCUGGCAUUGCUGGUGACCUCAAUAUAUUAAAUUGCUUCCUCAAACAUUCACCAAUUUUGGAGAAGCUCACUAUCCAGCUUUCUGAGGAACCUAAAGUUCCGGUGAAAAUACAAAGAAGUUACACUCCAUCAAAGCAAUCAUUUGCAUUCACCCAUCUGAAGAUCGUCGAGAUCAAAUGUGACAAAGUUGAUGGGUGGGCUCACAAGGUUUUGGACAUCUUGAGUACCUUCAACAUACCACUCGAGAAAGUUACAAUCCAGCGAGGAAAUAAAAACUUCUGGAUCUUAAUGUGA